UUGAACCGCAUGGUUCAAAAGUGAAAGACGGUCUUGCUGUCACUUAUAGAUGGAUCCGCGCUGCAUUAGCUAGUUGGUAAGGUAACGGCUUACCAAGGCAACGAUGCAUAGCCGACCUGAGAGGGUGAUCGGCCACACUGGAACUGAGACACGGUCCAGACUCCUACGGGAGGCAGCAGUAGGGAAUCUUCCGCAAUGGGCGAAAGCCUGACGGAGCAACGCCGCGUGAGUGAUGAAGGUCUUCGGAUCGUAAAACUCUGUUAUUAGGGAAGAACAUAUGUGUAAGUAACUGUGCACAUCUUGACGGUACCUAAUCAGAAAGCCACGGCUAACUACGUGCCAGCAGCCGCGGUAAUACGUAGGUGGCAAGCGUUAUCCGGAAUUAUUGGGCGUAAAGCGCGCGUAGGCGGUUUUUUAAGUCUGAUGUGAAAGCCCACGGCUCAACCGUGGAGGGUCAUUGGAAACUGGAAAACUUGAGUGCAGAAGAGGAAAGUGGAAUUCCAUGUGUAGCGGUGAAAUGCGCAGAGAUAUGGAGGAACACCAGUGGCGAAGGCGACUUUCUGGUCUGUAACUGACGCUGAUGUGCGAAAGCGUGGGGAUCAAACAGGAUUAGAUACCCUGGUAGUCCACGCCGUAAACGAUGAGUGCUAAGUGUUAGGGGGUUUCCGCCCCUUAGUGCUGCAGCUAACGCAUUAAGCACUCCGCCUGGGGAGUACGACCGCAAGGUUGAAACUCAAAGGAAUUGACGGGGACCCGCACAAGCGGUGGAGCAUGUGGUUUAAUUCGAAGCAACGCGAAGAACCUUACCAAAUCUUGACAUCCUUUGACAACUCUAGAGAUAGAGCCUUCCCCUUCGGGGGACAAAGUGACAGGUGGUGCAUGGUUGUCGUCAGCUCGUGUCGUGAGAUGUUGGGUUAAGUCCCGCAACGAGCGCAACCCUUAAGCUUAGUUGCCAUCAUUAAGUUGGGCACUCUAAGUUGACUGCCGGUGACAAACCGGAGGAAGGUGGGGAUGACGUCAAAUCAUCAUGCCCCUUAUGAUUUGGGCUACACACGUGCUACAAUGGACAAUACAAAGGGCAGCGAAACCGCGAGGUCAAGCAAAUCCCAUAAAGUUGUUCUCAGUUCGGAUUGUAGUCUGCAACUCGACUACAUGAAGCUGGAAUCGCUAGUAAUCGUAGAUCAGCAUGCUACGGUGAAUACGUUCCCGGGUCUUGUACACACCGCCCGUCACACCACGAGAGUUUGUAACACCCGAAGCCGGUGGAGUAACCUUUUAGGAGCUAGCCGUCGAAGGUGGGACAAAUGAUUGGGGUGAAGUCGUAACAAGGUAGCCGUAUCGGAAGGUGCGGCUGGAUCACCUCCUUUCUAAGGA
rnacentral:rRNA from 1 species